CGGGGUGCACCAGGCGCGAAAACUCUACAAUGCAGGCAACUGCGAUAGGGGAACAUCGAGUGAUACUCAUCUUGGGUGUCUGUCCUCCCGUCUAAAAAACGGGAGUUAGCAAGGGCCGGGCAAGACCGGUGCCAGCCGCCGCGGUAAUACCGGCGGCUCGAGUGGUGGCCGAUAUUAUUGAGUCUAAAGGGUCCGUAGCCGGCUUUGCAAGUCUUUUGGGAAAUCCAGCGGCUUAACCGUUGGUCGUCCGGGAGAUACUACAUUGCUUGGGACUGGGAGAGGUAGGAGGUACUCAGGGGGUAGGAGUGAAAUCCUGUAAUCCUUUGGGGACCACCGGUGGCGAAGGCGUCCUACCAGAACAGGUCCGACGGUGAGGGACGAAAGCUAGGGGCACGAACCGGAUUAGAUACCCGGGUAGUCCUAGCCGUAAACGAUGCUCGCUAGGUGUCACAACAAUCGUGAAUUGUUGUGGUGCCGUAGGGAAGCCGUGAAGCGAGCCACUUGGGAAGUACGACCGCAAGGUUGAAACUUAAAGGAAUUGGCGGGGGAGCACAAGGGCGAAUUCGCG
rnacentral:rRNA from 1 species